AUGUACCAAGCCCAGUUGCAUAAUUGGCUUGCUCAGAACGCUGCAACAAACACGCCUGAUGUUGCUCCACACCACAAUGCUCCCCAAGGUCAUGAUGUUCAUUUUCAGGCGGGAUGGGGUUCUUGGCCACCUUCGCCCCCGCCUGCCCUGUAUAACUUUCAGGCUUGGCUGACAGCAGAGGGUCUGCAAGUUCAGGAUGGGAUUUUUCCUGCAAAUAACCUUCAGGAUAGCCCAGGUGCAUCUUGGAAUGACUCCUUUUCUGCUUAUGACAUCUCAGAUUCCAGUGCCACCAUCUCAGACAGUUACAUCAUGGUUCCCAGUAAUAUUUUCAAUAAUCUUGUUCUGGGGGAAAGCUCUAAUGCACCUGGAAGUAAUGUUGUCCCUCGUCCAGCCCCUUAG
rnacentral:rRNA from 1 species